ACUAGAAUAGUUUAAUUAAGAAUACUAGUUUGUGGGAUUAGUGGUGUAUUUACCUUAUUUUUAGUA
rnacentral:tRNA from 1 species